rnacentral:lncRNA from 1 species
AUGGAUGGAGGAACUUCAUGGGGGCACGGAUGGUUUCAAAUACAGUCACAUCCAAUCCCUCCAAGAUGUAUUUUGUCCUGGCAUCAUAUUUCCUGGCAUUUGCCUAGUGUGGCCUGGAUAAGCAAGGGUUACAUGUUGAACCAAAUUCAGCUGAGACCUCUGGGUGUUACUGACCCAACCUCUACACUUUGGUCGGCUGUUUUCGCAGGGGUAAAAUCUAGAGCUGCUAAGAUAGACGAAACCAUGACCAUGACAAGCACGUGGACCAGGCCACAAUUGUACAAAGGGGACAUUGAUGCUAAGGAUGCUACAGAAGCUGACCCUGGAUGA